CACGUAGGGGGCAAGCGUUGUCCGGAUUUAUUGGGCGUAAAGAGCUCGUAGGUGGUUCGGUAAGUCGGGUGUGAAACCUCCAGGCUCAACCUGGAGACGCCACCCGAUACUGCUGUGACUGGAGUCCGGUAGGGGAGCGUGGAAUUCCUGGUGUAGCGGUGAAAUGCGCAGAUAUCAGGAGGAACACCCGUGGCGAAAGCGGCUCUCUGGGACGGUACUGACGCUGAGACGCGAAAGCGUGGGGAGCAAACAGG
rnacentral:rRNA from 1 species